rnacentral:rRNA from 1 species
UACAGAGGGUGCAAGCGUUAAUCGGAAUUACUGGGCGUAAAGCGUGCGUAGACGGUCAUGUAAGUCGGGUGUGAAAGCCCCGGGCUCAACCUGGGAAUUGCAUUCGAGACUGCAUGGCUAGGAUGCGGAAGAGGGAAGCGGAAUUCCCGGUGUAGCGGUGAAAUGCGCAGAUAUCGGGAAGAACACCCGUGGCGAAGGCGGCUCUCUGGGACGGUACUGACGCUGAGACGCGAAAGCGUGGGGAGCGAACAGG